CAUUUCUAGCUUGCUAGAAGAUGACGAGCGGCGGACGGGUGAGUAAUACUUGGGGAUCUGCCUGAUGGCGGGGGACAACCACUGGAAACGGUGGCUAAUACCGCAUAAUGCCUACGGGCCAAAGUGUGGGACCUUCGGGCCACAUGCCAUCAGAUGAACCCAAGCGAGAUUAGCUAGUUGGUGAGGUAACGGCUCACCAAGGCGACGAUCUCUAGCUGGUCUGAGAGGAUGAUCAGCCACACUGGGACUGAGACACGGCCCAGACUCCUACGGGAGGCAGCAGUGGGGAAUAUUGGACAAUGGGCGCAAGCCUGAUCCAGCCAUGCCGCGUGUGUGAAGAAGGCCUUCGGGUUGUAAAGCACUUUCAGUGGUGAGGAAGGCCUUGUAGUUAAUAGCUGCAAGGAUUGACGUUAGCCACAGAAGAAGCACCGGCUAACUCCGUGCCAGCAGCCGCGGUAAUACGGAGGGUGCGAGCGUUAAUCGGAAUUACUGGGCGUAAAGCGCACGUAGGCGGUUUGUUAAGCAAGAUGUGAAAGCCCAGGGCUCAACCUUGGAAUUGCAUUUUGAACUGGCAAGCUAGAGUUUUGAAGAGGGUGGUAGAAUUUCCAGUGUAGCGGUGAAAUGCGUAGAUAUUGGAAGGAAUACCAGUGGCGAAGGCGGCCACCUGGUCAAAAACUGACGCUGAGGAGCGAAAGCGUGGGGAGCAAACAGGAUUAGAUACCCUGGUAGUCCACGCCGUAAACGAUGUCAACUAGUUGUUCGUGUCCUUGAGACGUGAGUAACGCAGCUAACGCACUAAGUUGACCGCCUGGGGAGUACGGCCGCAAGGUUAAAACUCAAAUGAAUUGACGGGGGCCCGCACAAGCGGUGGAGCAUGUGGUUUAUUCGAUGCAACGCGAAGAACCUUACCAUCCCUUGACAUCCA
rnacentral:rRNA from 1 species